UACAUAAUAUAUACUUAAUUUUUUUAUUUUAUUUAGUUUCACACUUAAGUUACCCCUGAAUGUAUUGCUGUGGAUUGGGUUGCAAAAAAUUUGUGUGGGAUUGAAACUUUUGACGGAACCAAAGUUAUAAAUACUACAUUGAAUGGGAAAAAAAAAACUUUGGUGAAACUUGAAACUGAUCGUAAACCACUCAAUAACGUGUUAGAUCCUUAAUCUGGGUUAACAUCCAAUUGAUAUUGAGCUAUUUGAGGAUUCAAUUUACGUAUCACUUUUGACAACAAUUGUAAAAAUUUACAAUAUAUAAAAAAUAUCUUUAGGGCUACAGAUUUAGUUAUUAUGCUAGAGAAUAAACAUCCAAAAAACUGUCGACAUUAAAUGUGUAAAUUAGCAAAUCCCUCCUUUAAUUUUUCGAAUAUGUUAAUAAUAUAUUUAUCAUGCAAUAUGGGAGAAUGUCAGCAUUAGUUAAUUGUAAAUGUUAUCCAUUUUUUGGUGGAGAGCUGUAAUGAGUACAAAUGUCAUUAGUACUGUCACAAUAAAACUUCCUGUUAUAUUAUAUUCUAUGAAGUCAUUGGAAGAAUUUAAACUCAAGAUACAGUGUGAUUUGUUCUUGAACCAAUUUUUACUCUCAAUUAUACGCAAAAUGAUCCUUUUGUUGAAUCGAAAGAAAGGGUUUUACAAACGUGCAAUCAUGGUCUACUAGUGUUAAAUAUGGCUAUGAAAAUUUAAGUUUUACAUCUGGUUCAAUGCAAGCACCUAUUUUACAUCUAUAUGUUUCUAAAUCUAACCCUGCUGUACAAGUCUAAAAAAGACACACUGAAAUUUAUUAUACGUAUAUGUUAUAUUAAAAAAAAAAUUAGAUUUCUUUGGAUAUUUUCAAUAAUGCUGUCUAUGCUGUUAACAUUGAAACACAGGCUCACAACUUUCAAUGUCAGGAUAUUUGUUCAAAUAUGGAUCAUCUAUUAUAUCAUGGACUUCACAAAUCACAAAGGAAAAAACGUGUGUCAUUAUAGUUGACGGAAGAAGAAAAUAUUGUGGCAGUCAAAGCUGUAAAAGGAAUCACGUAGAUAACACUGUUAAUAACAGUGAAAACAGAAAACAGAAGUGAAAACUCCAGAAUUUCAUAAGAGGGCCAACUCAGAAGUACAAUAUCAUUUCAUUUGAGAAAAUGAUGAAGAUGGAUUGUUUCAAUUACCGUACUUACAUUGGAACAGAGGACCAUAAUGCAGACCAAGCCUUUGGUAAAAAAACAUUUCAAGAAACUACAGUCAGCCACAGGAGUGACAAAAAUCAAAGAAAUUAUUAAUUGAUGCAGUGUUGAAAUAUACAAUUAAUAUUUGUAUUCUAUGCACAUAUAUUGUAAUAAUUAUAUUGUAAGCACAAUGUAAUAUGUGUACACCUAUCAAUAUUGUAUUUCACUAUUGACUUUCUAGUUGUAAUAUUACUUAUUAGAACAUAACUUUCAUUGUUAUAUGGAUUUAGGAUGACCUCAAUCGUGACAUAUAAAUAGGGCCUUUAAUUUACGUAAAUAUGUAAUCGGCACUUGCUCACACACCUUCAUACUUUGUGUAUAGUGGCUGAUUCAGUCCAGUUGUACGUUACAUAUUUUAUAUUUUUGUUAUAUUCAGUAUUUACAUAAUCAUUAAGCCGUGUUAUUUAUCUACAUUAAAUAACUAAAUACUUAGUACUCAUUAAGCCCCAAUUUCAACAGUUAUUUUUCAGCCUAGUUUCCAUUCAAUUUGA